rnacentral:rRNA from 1 species
AGGACGAACGCUGGCGGCGUGCUUAACACAUGCAAGUCGAGCGACGCUCCUCCUUCGGGAGGAUGACGGAGCGGCGAACGGGUGAGUAACACGUGGGCAACCUGCCCCUAGCUCUGGGAUAACCCCGGGAAAUCGGGACUAAUACCGGAUAUGAAGUCGGACGGCAUCGUCUGACUUGGAAAGUUUUUCGGCUAGGGAUGGGCCCGCGGCCUAUCAGCUUGUUGGUGGGGUAAUGGCCUACCAAGGCGACGACGGGUAGCCGGCCUGAGAGGGCGACCGGCCACACUGGGACUGAGACACGGCCCAGACUCCUACGGGAGGCAGCAGUGGGGAAUAUUGCACAAUGGGCGAAAGCCUGAUGCAGCGACGCCGCGUGAGGGAUGGACUGCCUUCGGGUUGUAAACCUCUUUCAGCAGGGACGAAGCGAAAGUGACGGUACCUGCAGAAGAAGCACCGGCAACUACGCGCCAGCAGCCGCGGUAA